ACAUGUCUUAAUAAGUAAAGUAUUUCAAAACAGAUUGAGUGUCAUGUGCACCAAAAUUUGAACAUUAUAAACUCUAGUUUGGUCUCCUAAUUGGUAAUUUGUCCCUUCUGAUUGGCUGAGGUGGUUGUUCAGUGGAAUCCUGUGUUGGUUGGGGUGUUUGUUCAGUGGAUUCCUGUGUUGGUUGGGGUGGUUGUUCAUCACAUGGUUCUGUCCUUUCUUGACUUGGUUCUUCAGAAGGUUGUGGAGGUAAGGGGCACUGGUUUCUGUUAUGCCCAACGAUACGACAUAUGCUGCAUUUUUUACGGUGGCCACCUUUGCUCAUCUGCGUUUCAUCCCUUCUUAUUUCC
rnacentral:lncRNA from 1 species